GAUGAACGCUGGCGGCGUGCUUAACACAUGCAAGUCGAACGGAAAGGCCCAAGCUUGCUUGGGUACUCGAGUGGCGAACGGGUGAGUAACACGUGGGUGAUCUGCCCUGCACUUCGGGAUAAGCCUGGGAAACUGGGUCUAAUACCGGAUAGGACGAUGGUUUGGAUGCCAUUGUGGAAAGUUUUUUCGGUGUGGGAUGAGCUCGCGGCCUAUCAGCUUGUUGGUGGGGUAAUGGCCUACCAAGGCGUCGACGGGUAGCCGGCCUGAGAGGGUGUACGGCCACAUUGGGACGGAGAUACGGCCCAGACUCCUACGGGAGGCAGCAGUGGGGAAUAUUGCACAAUGGGCGCAAGCCUGAUGCAGCGACGCCGCGUGGGGGAUGACGGCCUUCGGGUUGUAAACUCCUUUCGCUAGGGACGAAGCGUUUUGUGACGGUACCUGGAGAAGAAGCACCGGCUAACUACGUGC
rnacentral:rRNA from 1 species